rnacentral:tRNA from 1 species
UUGGAUCACCUCCUAACAGGGAGACAAACAACGAUUUUGAUGUCUGAGUUAUUUAUUCUUAGGCCAAAAUCCUGUCACUUUAGGUCGAUCGGUACCUCAACUUUUGAAGCUAAGAGAGUUCCAGCAAUGGUUGUCUGCUUAGUGGAGAUUUUUAGUUCCUAAACUUUGUCUAGUUCACAACCCAUUAGGGAUGAGACUCCUGGGCCAUUAGCUCAGGUGGUUAGAGCGCACCCCUGAUAAGGGUGAGGUCCCUGGUUCAAGUCCAGGAUGGCCCAUUCGGUGUAGGGGGUUUAGCUCAGUUGGUAGAGCGCCUGCUUUGCAAGCAGGAUGUCAGGAGUUCGAGUCUCCUAACCUCCACUGACUACCAAAGUCCCCAUCUCCAAAACCUGGAGUAUGAACUCGUAUGGAUUGUGAUUUAGAUUUGUCCGCUAGAUGACCCUAGCUUCUUGUCAUUUUAAGGCAUGGAAAUGAUUCCAUGAUUUGAUUGAUAGGAUGCUGGGCUCGAUGCAAUGUAUUGAGAGAUCAAUGCAUUGUUUUGAUGUCUAGCCGAACCUUGACAACUGCAUAGUUUAAGUCUGGAAAGAAUAAAGCAUCUUUAUGGAUGCAUCAUUUUUUCGUGUUUACGCAUGAAGGAGUGAUGUUAAUUCUAAAGCAAGAGCCGAGACUCCAGUAUGUUCUUUCAAAUGUGUCGAGCAUUUGAGAGUUUGAUUUUAAUUUCUAAUUUUAGAUUCUAAUUUUAGAAAUUAGAAGAAUCUGUUUCAACAACAGCAAGCGUGCUGGAGAUACAUUGGUCAAGCUACAAAGGGCUCACGGCGGAUACCUUGGCACACAGAGGCGAUGAAGGA